rnacentral:rRNA from 1 species
AACGAACGCUGGCGGCAUGCCUAACACAUGCAAGUCGAACGAGACCUUCGGGUCUAGUGGCGCACGGGUGCGUAACGCGUGGGAACCUGCCCUUAGGUUCGGAAUAACUCCCCGAAAGGGGUGCUAAUACCGGAUAAUGUCUUCGGACCAAAGAUUUAUCGCCUUUGGAUGGGCCCGCGUUGGAUUAGCUUGUUGGUAGGGUAAAAGCCUAUCAAGGCGACGAUCCAUAGCUGGUCUGAGAGGAUGGUCAGCCACACUGGGACUGAGACACGGCCCAGACUCCUACGGGAGGCAGCAGUGGGGAAUAUUGGACAAUCGGCGAAAGCAUGAACCAGCAAUGCCGCGUGAGUGAUGAAGGCCUUAGGGUUGUAAAGCUCUUUUACCCGGGAUGAUAAUGACAGUACCGGGAGAAUAAGCUCCGGCUAACUCCGUG